rnacentral:rRNA from 1 species
AAAUUGAAGAGUUUGAUCAUGGCUCAGAUUGAACGCUGGCGGCAGGCCUAACACAUGCAAGUCGAGCGGUAGCACAGAGAGCUUGCUCUCGGGUGACGAGCGGCGGACGGGUGAGUAAUGUCUGGGAAACUGCCUGAUGGAGGGGGAUAACUACUGGAAACGGUAGCUAAUACCGCAUAACGUCGCAAGACCAAAGUGGGGGACCUUCGGGCCUCAUGCCAUCAGAUGUGCCCAGAUGGGAUUAGCUAGUAGGUGGGGUAACGGCUCACCUAGGCGACGAUCCCUAGCUGGUCUGAGAGGAUGACCAGCCACACUGGAACUGAGACACGGUCCAGACUCCUACGGGAGGCAGCAGUGGGGAAUAUUGCACAAUGGGCGCAAGCCUGAUGCAGCCAUGCCGCGUGUGUGAAGAAGGCCUUCGGGUUGUAAAGCACUUUCAGCGGGGAGGAAGGCGUUAAGGUUAAUAACCUUGGCGAUUGACGUUACCCGCAGAAGAAGCACCGGCUAACUCCGUGCCAGCAGCCGCGGUAAUACGGAGGGUGCAAGCGUUAAUCGGAAUUACUGGGCGUAAAGCGCACGCAGGCGGUCUGUCAAGUCGGAUGUGAAAUCCCCGGGCUCAACCUGGGAACUGCAUUCGAAACUGGCAGGCUAGAGUCUUGUAGAGGGGGGUAGAAUUCCAGGUGUAGCGGUGAAAUGCGUAGAGAUCUGGAGGAAUACCGGUGGCGAAGGCGGCCCCCUGGACAAAGACUGACGCUCAGGUGCGAAAGCGUGGGGAGCAAACAGGAUUAGAUACCCUGGUAGUCCACGCCGUAAACGAUGUCGAUUUGGAGGUUGUGCCCUUGAGGCGUGGCUUCCGGAGCUAACGCGUUAAAUCGACCGCCUGGGGAGUACGGCCGCAAGGUUAAAACUCAAAUGAAUUGACGGGGGCCCGCACAAGCGGUGGAGCAUGUGGUUUAAUUCGAUGCAACGCGAAGAACCUUACCUGGUCUUGACAUCCACAGAACUUUCCAGAGAUGGAUUGGUGCCUUCGGGAACUGUGAGACAGGUGCUGCAUGGCUGUCGUCAGCUCGUGUUGUGAAAUGUUGGGUUAAGUCCCGCAACGAGCGCAACCCUUAUCCUUUGUUGCCAGCGGUC